rnacentral:lncRNA from 1 species
UGCCCGCCCCAGCGGGACGGCGGCGAGGGGGUUUGGGAGCCGGGCCGGGACACGCGAGGCGACGGGGAGCUCACCGCAAGGCUGGAGGCCCGGAGGCUGCGUCCCCAAGCGCGCUGGGAGCCGAGAGACGGAGAGCGAGCGCUCUGCAGCGGGCGGUGGACGCGCUGAAGGCACCAACCCUGGAGAAGCUUCUGCUGGUGCUUGGACAUGCGCCUGGACCUUGGAGGUAGGAAGGCCGAGGCCACCUUGGGGUGCCAGGCUGGGCCAUCAGAGCCAGGGGUGGGGGGCACGGAGGCACUUUCUCCCCGUGGGGCUGCCCGCUGACCUCUCGCCUUAUUAGUCGCGAGUGUGGCUAACAGGGCAGGGUUGUCAGGGGCAGAUCCAGGUCACUGCGGGGCUCAGAAAGGGCCCUGG